UACGGGGGGGGCAAGCGUUGUUCGGAAUUACUGGGCGUAAAGGGCUCGUAGGCGGCCAACUAAGUCAGACGUGAAAUCCCUCGGCUUAACCGGGGAACUGCGUCUGAUACUGGAUGGCUUGAGUUUGGGAGAGGGAUGCGGAAUUCCAGGUGUAGCGGUGAAAUGCGUAGAUAUCUGGAGGAACACCGGUGCGAAGGCGGCAUCCUGGACCAACACUGACGCUGAGGAGCGAAAGCCAGGGGAGCAA
rnacentral:rRNA from 1 species